UCGAGUUGAUUGGUUUGCGUUCAGAGUGGGUUUUUUCUGUAAGAAAUGAGACACUUAGUCUCUUUUAAGAAGGUUGAUGUUGGAAAAGUCAACCGGAUGUUGACUUAUGUGUUAGAGGGCUUGGAUGUGAGUUCUGAUGGUUCAGUUAGCUUCGGGAGGUGAUUUAUGACUAAGGAGUGUGAUCGAAAUCGGUUUUAGAGGUCUGGUGUUGAAUUAAGCUCUAAUUGGCGAAGUUUGUAUUUUUGGUGAUUUUCGGUUGGUAGGUGAGAUUUUGAUCUGGAAACCGAAAUGGAAUUCCGAGACUUACGGAGCCUUCAUUAUGGCAUUUGUGAUGUGUGUGAGAAGUUUCAGGUCAUUCAGAUGUGGUUUGGUUGGGUUUUUAAUCAAAAGCGAGUUUCGGAAGAUUUUAGAAACUUAGGCUUGAAUUCGAUCAAUUUUGAGUUAUUUGAUGUCGUUUGAGGUGUUUUGAUGAUUGGAUCAAGUUUUAAUAAAGUAUUGGGUCAUGUUUAUGCAUUUGGUUGAGCCUGGGUCAUGUUUAUGCAUUUGGUUGAGGUCCCGUGCAGUUGCAGAAUUUCUGCUGCUUCUAGUGUUUUUGCACCUGCGGUUUGGGGAACGCAGGUGCAGCAUUGCAUGUGCAAAGGAUUUUCUGCAGAUACGGAUUUGAGGAGAGAGGUCAAGAACCACAGAUGCGAAAAAGUAAUCGCACCUGCGGAGCCGGAGAUGCAGCAGUGUGCCGCAGAUGCGAUUUUGGAUCGUUAAGUGAAUUCCACAUAUGCGGAAAAAUGACCGCAAAAGUGGGUUUUGGUACGCAGAAGUGGAAAAUCCUGGGCAGAAGGUAUGUAUUUCAUCCUUCGUGAUUUUUGAAGGAUUUCAUCAUUAUAACUUUGGAUUGAGG
rnacentral:lncRNA from 1 species